rnacentral:rRNA from 1 species
AAGCUCGUAGUUGAAUUUCGGGGUUAGUAGGUUGGUCAUGCCUCUGGUAUGUACUGGUCUCACUGAUUCCUCCUCCCUUAUGAACCGUAAUGCCAUUAAUUUGGUGUUGCGGGGAAUUUGGACUGUUACUUUGAAAAAAUUAGAGUGUUUAAAGCAAGCUAACGCUUGAAUACAUUAGCAUGGAAUAAUGAAAUAGGACGUUCGAUCUUAUUUUAGUUUGGUUUCUAGGAUUGACGUAAUGAUUAAUAGGGAUAGUUGGG